rnacentral:rRNA from 1 species
AUUGAACGCUGGCGGCAUGCUUUACACAUGCAAGUCGAACGGUAACAGGUUAAGCUGACGAGUGGCGAACGGGUGAGUAAUGCAUCGGAACGUGCCCGAUCGUGGGGGAUAACGCAGCGAAAGCUGCGCUAAUACCGCAUACGAUCUGAGGAUGAAAGCGGGGGACCGUAAGGCCUCGCGCGAUCGGAGCGGCCGAUGUCAGAUUAGGUAGUUGGGGGGGUAAAGGCUCACCAAGCCAACGAUCUGUAGAAGGUCUGAUAGGACGGCCAGCCAAACUGGGACUGAGACACGGCCCAGACUCCUACGGGAGGCAGGAGUGGGGAAUUUUGGACAAUGGGCGAAAGCCGGAUCCAGCAAUGCCGCGUGCAGGAAGAAGGCCUUCGGGUUGUAAACUGCUUUUGUACGGAGCGAAAAGGCUCUCUCUAAUACAGGGGGCUCAUGACGGUACCGUAAGAAUAAGCACCGGCUAACUACGUGCCAGCCGCCGCAGUAACAC